CUAUUCAAUGAUUAAAAUUUUAAAUAAUUGCAGUAAAUUAACUGUACUAAGGUAGCAUAAUCAUUUGUUUUUUAAUUGAAAAAUUGAAAUGAAAGAUUGAAUGAGAAAUAAACUUUAUUAAUUAAUUUAAAUGAAUUUAUAUAUAAAAUAAAAAAUUUUUAAUAAUUUUAAAAGACGAUAAGACCCUAUAAAAUUUUAUAAAUUAAUUUAUUUAAUUUGAAUAAUUUAAUUUAUUUAGAUAUAUUAAUCUAUUUAAUUGGGGAAAUUUUAAAAUUUAAAUAAUUUUUAAAUUUAAUUAAAUUUUAUAAAAUUAAUUUUAAAAUAAAUUUAAUUAAUUUAAAAUUAAAUUACUUUAGGGAUAACAGCAUAAUUUUUUAAAAAAGUUCAAAUUUUUUAAAAAGAUUAUGACCUCGAUGUUGAAUUAAAAUAAAAUUAUAUUGAAAAUAAUAUAAGGUUUAGUCUGUUCGACU
rnacentral:rRNA from 1 species